GAUGAACGCCGGCGGUGUGCCUAAUACAUGCAAGUCGUACGCACUGGCCCAACUGAUUGAUGGUGCUUGCACCUGAUUGACGAUGGAUCACCAGUGAGUGGCGGACGGGUGAGUAACACGUAGGUAACCUGCCCCGGAGCGGGGGAUAACAUUUGGAAACAGAUGCUAAUACCGCAUAACAACAAAAGCCACAUGGCUUUUGUUUGAAAGAUGGCUUUGGCUAUCACUCUGGGAUGGACCUGCGGUGCAUUAGCUAGUUGGUGGGGCAACGGCCUACCAAGGCGACGAUCAGUAGCCGGUCUGAGAGGAUGAACGGCCANAUUGGAACUGAGACACGGUCCAGACUCCUACGGGAGGCAGCAGUGGGGAAUCUUCCGCAAUGGCGAAAGCCUGACGGAGCAACGCCGCGUGAGUGAAGAAGGUCUUCGGAUCGUAAAGCUCUGUUGUCGGGGACGAAUGUUGAGACUUAGAACAUAAGUUUCAAA
rnacentral:rRNA from 1 species